CCUACGGGGGGCAGCAGUAGGGAAUAUUGCUCAAUGGGGGAAACCCUGAAGCAGCAACGCCGCGUGGAGGAUGAAGGUAUUCGGAUUGUAAACUCCUUUUGUUAGAGAAGAUAAUGACGGUAUCUAACGAAUAAGCACCGGCUAACUCCGUGCCAGCAGCCGCGGUAAUACGGCGGGUGCAAGCGUUACUCGGAAGCACCGGGCGUAAAGAGCGAGUAGGCGGGAUAGCAAGUCAGUUGUGAAAUCCUAUGGCUUAACCCGAGAACUGCAUUUGAAACUGUUAUUCUAGAGUAUGGGAGAGGUAGGUGGAAUUCUUGGUGUAGCGGUAAAAUGCGUAGAGAUCAAGAGGAAUACUCAUUGCGAAGGCGACCUGCUAGAACAUAACUGACGCUGAUGCGCGAAAGCGUGGGGAGCAAACAGGAUUAGAUACCCCUGUAGUC
rnacentral:rRNA from 1 species